GCAUAUCAAUAAGCGGAGGAAAAGAAACCAACAGGGAUUGCCCUAGUAACGGCGAGUGAAGCGGCAACAGCUCAAAUUUGAAAUCUGGCGUCUUUGGCGUCCGAGUUGUAAUUUGCAGAGGGCGCUUUGGCAUUGGCAGCGGUCCAAGUUCCUUGGAACAGGACGUCACAGAGGGUGAGAAUCCCGUACGUGGUCGCUAGCCUUUACCGUGUAAAGCCCCUUCGACGAGUCGAGUUGUUUGGGAAUGCAGCUCUAAAUGGGAGGUAAAUUUCUUCUAAAGCUAAAUACUGGCCAGAGACCGAUAGCGCACAAGUAGAGUGAUCGAAAGAUGAAAAGCACUUUGGAAAGAGAGUUAAAAAGCACGUGAAAUUGUUGAAAGGGAAGCGCUUGCAGCCAGACUUGCCUGUAGUUGCUCAUCUAGGUUUCUACCUAGUGCACUCUUCUACAGGCAGGCCAGCAUCAGUUUGGGCGGUUGGAUAAAGGUCUCUGUCAUGUACCUCUCUUCGGGGAGAACUUAUAGGGGAGACGACAUGCAACCAGCCUGGACUGAGGUCCGCGCAUCUGCUAGGAUG
rnacentral:rRNA from 1 species